rnacentral:rRNA from 1 species
CAGUCGCCGCGGUAAUACGGAGGGAGCUAGCGUUGUUCGGAAUUACUGGGCGUAAAGCGCGCGUAGGCGGUUACUCAAGUCAGAGGUGAAAGCCCGGGGCUCAACCCCGGAACUGCCUUUGAAACUAGGUGACUAGAAUCUUGGAGAGGUCAGUGGAAUUCCGAGUGUAGAGGUGAAAUUCGUAGAUAUUCGGAAGAACACCAGUGGCGAAGGCGGCUCACUGGCUCAUACUGGACGCUGAGGUGCGAAAGCGUGGGGAGCAAACAGGAUUAGAUACCCCGGUAGUCCCUGUCUCUUAUAC